rnacentral:piRNA from 1 species
UGAACCUUGGAGGCGAGGACAUUCUAUGU